ensembl:lncRNA
GCAGAAGCCUUCAGAACUCCAGGGUCACACCUAAGCUCCCCAUUUCCCCACAGCCUCCAGCCCGAGUUGGAGGGUGGAGUUGAAGGUUGAAAGGAGGGUGGCUGGGCUGACAAUAUUUCUCUAAUGGCUCACCCACAGCGUUUUCAGGUGUUCUUUCGAAAUGCCACUUUUCACAUAAGGAGGGCCCUUUAGAAUUUUCCAGAUGGCAGAUGUGAUUUUUUUUUUUAACCUUCCAAAAUGAAAUAAGAUGUUACCCAGAGAACAGUAAGGUGCUUCGAAAAGCCAAAGGACAUUUCUCAAUGAUUUAAAAUGAACAUGCCCAUCGCAUGAAGGAGAGGUAGGGGUGGUGCUUUCUACAAACUGAUCAGUGUAUGCAGGUUUGCAAUUCUAGCAACAGUUCAGGAGAUUGAGCCAUUGGACCUACGUUCCAUUUACUGAAAGGGCUAUGAAAAAUAAUCCCUUGUCAAGAUGUCUUCAAAAGUCAUCAGAUAAAGCGACCAGCAGUGUUCGAAAAGUACUGGGCAAGGCCUUUGCCUAAGAUAGGGAAAGAGUCCUGUAAGCUUCAAAGUACAUUUUCAUUUUCUGUGUGAGCCUUGGGGGAGGAGGGGGGGAAGGGUCAAAAUAUGAAAAAGAAGAGCCCCCACUUGCAGUGGCAAGCAGGAGAAGGAACAGCCUGGAUUUAUAAUAUUAAUGGAAAGUUCCCAAAGUAGACAUUAGGCAAGUUAUCCCACCAACAAAUACAGAAGACACACAAGAACAGCUUUAAAUAAACAAGCAGAAUUGAUUUGUAAAUCAUACUUUUGCAUUCAGGAGCAAUGGAUGUCAAUCAAACGUGGGUGACAUUUGCUUGUCAAUACAGGGAUGAUGGCUGGGAAGCUGGUGACUUAUUACAUCAGGGCGAGAAUUGAAAUGAGAAGCAGAAACAAAUAAGACUACAAGGCAAGCCAACAAUAACCUCCCAGUGUGGCACAGGGGCCUGUGAUCUGAUCUGUGGGCUCCUGGCACUAAGAGACAUCUCUCUGUGCCUUCUACCUGCCCCCAUUCCACACCACCAGUUCAGUCCUUUCUCUCCUCCUUCUCUGUUUCUGAACAAAAUAAGGUCAAAGGAGGAAGCAGAAGGAAACAAAGAUUCAUUGAUUCUUUUAAGAGAAAUGUCAGCAGCUCAUCAGGUCUUUCCUGGGAGAACCAACACUGAGACCCCCGGUAGGUGGGGGCCGGGGUGGGGGUGCUCUCAGCCCAGCCCAGGUCACCACCUUACUCUCCAUCCUCCUCUGAUUGUCUCUGCUCUGCUUUUUUUUUUUUUUCCUUCUGCUUUAUAGGCUCGCACCUGCAGCAGUGGAAGUAGCCUAGGGGUCCAAUCAGAGCUGCAGCUGCCGGCCUACACCACAACCACAGCAACACCAGAUCCAAGCCUUGUCUAUGCCGCAGCUUGUGGCAAGGCCGGAUCCUUAACCCCCUGAGUGAGUGAGGCCAGGGAUCAAACCCUCGCCCACAUGGAUACUAGCAGGGUUUGUAACCCCCUGAGCGGGAACUCCCCAGAGCCUCUGCUCUUGCUACUAGCAAACAGUCCUUCUCACUUCUCAAACCUUUAACUCUUUUUGGAGGGGAGUGAUUUUAUAAAUAUGUGCCUUUUUCUUGGGCACAAUGACACAUAUAUUUCACACUACUUUUGUUCACAUAAGUGGACUUCUUUUCAUAUGUUAAAGUAGAUAACCCAUACCAAGUUCUCUCCUGGCUGCAAUACCUAUUUUCCUAACAUCUCUUCGGGGUUGCUUCUCAAAGUCACCUUUCUUUGGAAGGACAAAACGGUAAUGCGUGAUGUCAGCAGUGGGGAGUCAGGUAUUAAUAAAAUAAAGCUCUCCCCUGAUAAAAUCAUCAAACAUCAUAAGACUUUAUUGCUAAGGAGGUUGAAUGGAGGAUCAUAGGAAUGUUUUUUAAAGGUAGAAUUGCAUUUAUAAAUUCUCAUCAAACACCUUAAGAUACAUAGAGUUCUCCCAUUGAAGAAGGCCCAUCUCAUGGAGGAAUCCAUCAAGGAGGAAAUAGAACAGUUGGAAUGGGCCCUAGAAAGCUAGCUUCUACCUGCUCACCUGGCAGAUGGUGAGGCAGAGACCCAGUCACAAGUAGAAGCAGGGUCACCCAAUGUGCCUACAGGUGGACCUACCUCUAUGCUGUAGUACCAAUAUGUUCUGGCCCCACCCUAGGCGUUCCUCCUUCUACUUUCCCUUCUGCCAAAGCAAGAGCUUGGUUUCACAAGUUCUGCUGAGAUGUGGAGUGGUACCCAAUAGCCAUCCUUCGUAAGGAGAUAUCAUCUUCUAGAUCACAUGACUGACCCCAGUCAUUCCAUUGAGUACACAAACCCAGGCAGGGCGUGGACUUUUGGCUUUUUAGACGAGCAAGUUUACAUGAUCUGUCUCCUUCCCUUUCUCUAGAAAUGUUCCACCAUGCACUUUGGGAAAAAAAAAAAUUGUUUUUCCCAAGAUUUUCAGGGAUGACUGAGUAGUAGAUGAAUUCAUGACUGGUUACUGCCACUUUCCUACUGCUUGAAUUUCUCAGAAGGUUCUCUGGAAAGUUACUCACGCUUCAGCCCUUAUUCUGACAGUUUGAAUAAACCAUCUGAUAUGGCACAUUACUCAUCAUCUUUACAUGUAUAUAAUAAUAGAAAAUGUGUCAAUUAAAAAAAAUAUUUGGUUCUUUGCAGUCCUCAUCAGAGAACCAAGCUUUCUCUCAGAUUCAGUAUUAGUUUGAGAAGCAGGCCCCAGAAUCCAAUUUUCACAGCAAUUCCCAAUCAUUGCUCAAGAAAUCACUCGGUUUCAUAUUCUCCUUCUUCCGGCACCUGGGCCUUUGGGGCCCUUCGGUGAUAUGGGCAAAUACAGAAAGCCAUGAUCUGGGUUGGAUGACUUGGAUAAUGACUCUGUGAUUUUCACCUUUCCCCGUCUCACUUCUUUUCUUUUCUUGUGGGGGGAACGUAUAUGGAGGUUCCCAGGCUAAGGGUCAAAUCAGAGCUGUAACGGCUGGCCUACACCACAACCACAGCAACACAGGAUCCGAGCCUCACCUGCGACCUACACCAUAGCUCCCAGCAACGCCAGAUCCUUAACCCACUGAGCAGAGCUGGGGAUCGAAUCUGCAUCCGCGUGGAUACCAGUCAGAUUGUUUCCACUGAGCCACAACGGGAACUCCUCCCCCCCUCCCACUUCUGCUUCUCUCUCGGAACUGAGCGCAUCCUAAACACACAACUCCUACACAGGCGUGCACGGCCAUCCAUUAAUCUUCACUGCGCACCCACUGGCAGCAGAGCUUUACAGUGGGCUCUUCUGCGAUAUUUAGUCAUGAGGAUGAUUUCUAAAUCCAGCAGCAUUUAAACAGAAAUAGCAUUUCUUAUAAUAGGAAAAAAAAAAAAAACACCAUAAUGAAUUCACAAACCCAAGGGCUAUCUAAAGAAAGAGACAUAAAAAAUGUAAAGAAAAAAAAGGUGGGACUGGAUCCACUAUUGAUCUUUAAUUUCUGGGUCUCCAAACUGUAUCAGAGAAGUAUAGCUUUCCAGCCAGAGAGGGUCUGCUUGGAGUUCUGAAGGGAAGCUUGGGAAUCAUGAGGAAUCUUGGGAAGCUUAGGGUCUUAACUCAAAUCUUAGCUUCCUCCUUCAGUAGCUAGGGAAGUUCCUGGUAAUUCUUCCUGAGGCUUAAUUUCCUUUUCUGUGAAAUACCUAAAUCGUAGGAGUGUUGGGAAGAUUAAGUGAGUUUUUGCAUAUAUACAAUGCUACUUGAUGCAUAAGGAGAGCCGGGUAAACAUCAGCUUUCAUCGUAGUAUACUGUAGGUCCACUGGGUAGUGUGUGUGUGCGUGUCUAUGAGUUGGGUGGUAGGGCACAAAGCUCAGGAAAGGAAGUUACAGCUCAAGAGUCAGACUUCAGACAAAUGGCAUCAAAUGAGCAAUAAGUAUGACAGACUUAGACAAAACUCGAAAGCACACAUAAGUUCUGCAGGAGUGGAGCCUUCUCUAUUCCAAAACAACCCACGACAGAACUUAAAACAAGGGGCACUUUACUUUUCUCCAGAGCAAGAAAACCAAGUG